GCGCACCAGUCGAGAAAACUUUCCAAUGCGUUAACGCGUGAGAAGGGAACCUCGAGUGGUUGCGCUUUGCGUAACCUUUUGCCAAAUCUAGAAAGUUUGGCGAAUAAGUGGUGGGCAAUACGGGUGCCAGCCGCCGCGGUAAUACCCGAGCCACGAAUGGUGAUCACGAUUACUGGGCCUAAAGAGUCUGUAGCCGGUUUAGCAAGUUCCUGGUGAAAUCUGGCAGCUAACUGUCAGGAUGGCUGGGAAUACUACUAAACUUGGGACCGGGAGAGGUCAGAAGUAUUCCUUGGGUAGGGGUUAAAUCCUUUAAAUCCAAGGAGGACUACCUGUGGCGAAGGCGUCUGACUAGAACGGGUCCGACGGUGAUGGACGAAAGCUGGGGGAGCAAAAUCUAAUCCUUCGAUCUUGCGAUUGCGAGGAUGAGAGCUUAAAGCGGAUUAGAUACCCCUGUAGU
rnacentral:rRNA from 1 species